CGCAAGCCUGACGGAGCAACGCCGCGUGUGGGAAGAAGGCUCUUGGACUGUCAACCACUUUUCUCAGGGAAGAAGUCCUGACGGUACCUGAGGAAUCAGCCUCGGCUAACUCCGUGCCAGCAGCCGCGGUAAUACGGAGGAGGCAAGCGUUAUCCGGAAUUAUUGGGCGUAAAGCGUCCGCAGGGGGCACAUCAAGUCUGCUGUUAAAGGCUGGAGCUUAACUCCGGUAGAGCAGUGGAAACUGGUGUGCUAGAGGGCGACAGGGGUAGAGGGAAUUCCCAGUGUAGCGGUGAAAUGCGUAGAGAUUGGGAAGAACACCGGUGGCGAAAGCGCUCUACUGGGUCGCACCUGACCCUCAGGGACGAAAGCUAAGGUAGCG
rnacentral:rRNA from 1 species